GAUGAACGCUAGCGGCAGGCUUAAUACAUGCAAGUCGUGGGGCAGCAGGUUUGUAGCAAUACAGAUGCUGGCGACCGGCAAACGGGUGCGGAACACGUACAGAACCUUCCUUUGAGCGGGGAAUAGCCCAGAGAAAUUUGGAUUAAUACCCCAUAGUAUAAUGAAGUGGCAUCACUUUAUUAUUAAAGAUUUAUCACUCGAAGAUGGCUGUGCGGCUGAUUAGGUAGUUGGCGGGGUAAAGGCCCACCAAGCCUGCGAUCAGUAACUGGUGUGAGAGCACGACCAGUCACACGGGCACUGAGACACGGGCCCGACUCCUACGGGAGGCAGCAGUAAGGAUAUUGGUCAAUGGAGGCAACUCUGAACCAGCCAUGCCGCGUGGAGGAUGAAGGUCCUCUGGAUUGUAAACUUCUUUUAUAUGGGACAAAAAAGGCUUUUCUAAGUCGUCUGACGGUACCAUAUGAAUAAGCACCGGCUAACUCCGUGCCAGCAGCCGCGGU
rnacentral:rRNA from 1 species